rnacentral:lncRNA from 1 species
UUAAUGCAAUCCCUUAAACAUCUUCUAUAGGCGAAAUAAGGUAGGCUCAACCUUACUCAACAAUCUUCCUCUAUAUGAUUUUAAAUGUAGUACUUCUAGUACUUAGUGUUCCUUCACAUAGCGCUUGAAAUGCAACCAUAUAAUUUGAAGCACUCUUCCGUGUCAUUGCAAAAGACCUUCUGAAUCAUCACGCCUUUAAUAAGGAAAUAGAUUUUGCUCCUCUGAGCAUCUUUACAGGGUAUGCGUCACCAUACGUAAUCCUAAGUCAUGGAAUGACCUUAGUCAAUGCUCUCACUCCGGCUACUAAACUAAAUGCCUAAUCCAAGACGUUCUAAGUGAGGCGAUGUCCUUGAUAGGUUAAGGUAUGUAUAUUUAUCUUGAGUAUAUCCUUAGGGUCUCAUUAGAAUCUUAAUUCAUUUAUUUCAGCAUUGAUCCACUGUCGGCGCUUCUAGCUAUUAUUAAACUCUGAACCAUCUUCGAGAACUUCUCUCGUCUUACACACUUGCGUAAACUUUUAUGAUCAAUCAUAAUGGUUGAUAAUUGCUAGUACUCAUAUCACAUCUCGUCUUUCCAAUUCGUAGUAGGUGAUCGUAAUCAAUAGGGAUUCUCAGUCAUGUCCUCAUCUAUUGCGAUAGGUACUGUAAGUAGAAUGGUUCCGAAUAUCUGAAACUAUAAGCUGA